rnacentral:tRNA from 1 species
GGUUAUGCAUACCGAGAGUAUGCGGGCCUUUCGAGCCCGUGACCCGGGUUCAAAUCCCGGCCG